rnacentral:ncRNA from 1 species
ACAGGGGCGCUGAAGAGGACUUCGGCUGAGAUGCAGGACUGAAACCGUCCGCUGUCCCUUGAACCUGAUCCGGGUAAUGCCGGCGUAGGAAGUGAAUGAA